GUUUUAAGGAUAAGCAUAUUCCUCCUGUAUACCCAGAGCCAUGGCUGGGAUUGCCACCGGCUUCCCUUUCAAGACCAUCCCGACUAGACCCACCAAGAUCAUCAUACCUCGAUCACUCCUCUCUUCCCUCCAAUCCAAGCACUUUGGCCCUCAUUUCCGCUUCCCAAACACUUUCUCCUCCUCGUCUCUCCACUGGUCUGCUCCGCCUGCUAUAUCCGCCCGUUAGGGUGGUGGUGAUUUUCGUUCCUCCGCCGCUCCCGGUCGUUCCAAGAGGAAUGAUGAAGACCAGGCUCUUGAUUUAUCUUCCAUCAGGUUGGGGUAGUGUCUAAAAGCCAGGCCAUUGAAAUGGCUGAAGAUGCAGGACUCGAUUUGGUGAUAUUAUCCCCUGAUGCAGAUCCUCCUGUUGUCAGAAUAAUGGAUUAUAAUAAGUAUAGAUAUGAACAACAAAAGAAGAAGAAAGUACAGCAGAAGAAAAGUGCGUGUUAAUGUCCUCUCUGUUAGAGUUUUCAAUGGGGAAUGCUAAAGUCAUACAACAUCUGGCUGGUGGCAAAGUAUCUCUGUUCUAAUUUGAUCCUGUUGACACAGUCAGAUUGACUAUGGAUUUAGCACUUCCCUGUGCAUUUCUAGUUGAUUCAUGACUAAACUUUCCUUUUUGCGGAUUGAUGCCGAGUAAACUAUUAUUUCAUCUGUCAGCCAAUCGCAUGGAUCUUAAGGAGUUGAAAAUGGGGUGAGUAUUUGCAUUAUACUUCUAUGUCCUCUUUGUUAGACUCAACUAUUAAACUUUCCUUUCUUUGGAUUGAUGCUGACAAAACGUUCCUCCGGGAAACGAAACUACUCUGGGGACAAAACUGAACAUGUUUUGGAACUCUAAAACAUAGUUCUUUGUCUUUAAUCUCACAACUUUUUGGCUUUUAUUAUUGAUGCAGGAGCUUUAUUGUACCAAGUUUCUCUAUGUUUUAAAUGUAGGGCUAACUGCUAAGAUUAAAAUUAUCUUUGUAACCCUACCAUAAAUAAGCCGUAAAAAAUACUAUA